rnacentral:rRNA from 1 species
GACGAACGCUGGCGGCGUGCUUAACACAUGCCAGUCGAACGGUAAGGCUCCAGCUUGCUGGGGUACACGAGUGGCGAACGGGUGAGUAACACGUGGGUGACCUGCCCUGCACUUCGGGAUAAGCCUGGGAAACUGGGUCUAAUACCGGAUAGGACCAUGGUGUGGAUACUGUGGUGGAAAGUUUUUUCGGUGUGGGAUGGGCCCGCGGCCUAUCAGCUUGUUGGUGGGGUAAUGGCCUACCAAGGCGGCGACGGGUAGCCGGCCUGAGAGGGUGGACGGCCACAUUGGGACUGAGAGACGGCACAGACUCCUACGGGAGGCAGCAGUGGGGAAUAUUGCACAAUGGGCGGAAGCCUGAUGCAGCGACGCCGCGUGGGGGAUGACGGCCUUCGGGUUGUAAACUCCUUUCACCAUCGACGAAGGGUUUCUGACGGUAGAUGGAGAAGAAGCACCGGCUAACUACGUG